rnacentral:rRNA from 1 species
GAUGAACGCUGGCGGCGUGCCUAAUACAUGCAAGUCGAGCGAACGGACGAGAAGCUUGCUUCUUUGAUGUUAGCGGCUGACGGGUGAGUAACACGUGGAUAACCUACUUAUAAGACUGGGAUAACUUCGGGAAACCGGAGCUAAUACCGGAUGAUAUUUUGAACCGCAUGGUUCAAAAGUGAUAGACGGUCUUCCUGUCACUUAUAGAUGGAUCCGUGCUGCAUUAUCUAGUUGGUAAGGUAACGGCUUACCAAGGCAACGAUGCGUAGCCGACCUGAGAGGGUGAUCGGCCACACUGGAACUGAGACACGGUCCAGACUCCUACGGGAGGCAGCAGUAGGGAAUCUUCGGCAAUGGGCGAAAGCCUGACGGAGCAACGCCGCGUGAGUGAUGAAGGUCUUCGGAUCGUAAAACUCUGUUAUUAGGGAAGAACAUAUGUGUAAGUAACUGUGCACAUCUUGACGGUACCUAAUCAGAAAGCCACGGCUAACUACGUG